AGAGUUUGAUCAUGGCUCAGAUUGAACGCUGGCGGCAGGCCUAACACAUGCAAGUCGAGCGGCAGCACGGGGAGCUUGCUCCCUGGUGGCGAGCGGCGGACGGGUGAGUAAUGCAUAGGAAUCUGCCCGGUAGUGGGGGAUAACCUGGGGAAACCCAGGCUAAUACCGCAUACGUCCUACGGGAGAAAGCAGGGGAUCUUCGGACCUUGCGCUAUCGGAUGAGCCUAUGUCGGAUUAGCUGGUUGGUGAGGUAAUGGCUCACCAAGGCGACGAUCCGUAGCUGGUCUGAGAGGAUGAUCAGCCACACUGGGACUGAGACACGGCCCAGACUCCUACGGGAGGCAGCAGUGGGGAAUAUUGGACAAUGGGCGCAAGCCUGAUCCAGCCAUGCCGCGUGUGUGAAGAAGGCCCUCGGGUUGUAAAGCACUUUCAGCGAGGAAGAAGGCUUGGCGGUCAAUACCCGUCAAGAAGGACAUCACUCGCAGAAGAAGCACCGGCUAACUCCGUGCCAGCAGCCGCGGUAAUACGGAGGGUGCGAGCGUUAAUCGGAAUUACUGGGCGUAAAGCGCGCGUAGGUGGUUUGGCACGCCGGUUGUGAAAGCCCCGGGCUCAACCUGGGAACGGCAUCCGGAACGGCCAGACUAGAGUGCAGGAGAGGAAGGUAGAAUUCCCGGUGUAGCGGUGAAAUGCGUAGAGAUCGGGAGGAAUACCAGUGGCGAAGGCGGCCUUCUGGCCUGACACUGACACUGAGGUGCGAAAGCGUGGGUAGCAAACAGGAUUAGAUACCCUGGUAGUCCACGCCGUAAACGAUGUCGACUAGCCGUUGGGACCUUUAAGGACUUAGUGGCGCAGUUAACGCGAUAAGUCGACCGCCUGGGGAGUACGGCCGCAAGGUUAAAACUCAAAUGAAUUGACGGGGGCCCGCACAAGCGGUGGAGCAUGUGGUUUAAUUCGAUGCAACGCGAAGAACCUUACCUACCCUUGACAUCCAGAGAACUUGGCAGAGAUGCCUUGGUGCCUUCGGGAACUCUGAGACAGGUGCUGCAUGGCUGUCGUCAGCUCGUGUUGUGAAAUGUUGGGUUAAGUCCCGUAACGAGCGCAACCCUUGUCCCUAUUUGCCAGCGAUUCGGUCGGGAACUCUAGGGAGACUGCCGGUGACAAACCGGAGGAAGGUGGGGACGACGUCAAGUCAUCAUGGCCCUUACGGGUAGGGCUACACACGUGCUACAAUGGCCGGUACAAAGGGUUGCGAGACCGCGAGGUGGAGCGAAUCCCAGAAAGCCGGCCUCAGUCCGGAUCGGAGUCUGCAACUCGACUCCGUGAAGUCGGAAUCGCUAGUAAUCGUGAAUCAGAAUGUCACGGUGAAUACGUUCCCGGGCCUUGUACACACCGCCCGUCACACCAUGGGAGUGGACUGCACCAGAAGUGGUUAGCUUAACCUUCGGGGGAGCGAUCACCACGGUGUGGUUCAUGACUGGGGUGAAGUCGUAACAAGGUAGCCGUAGGGGAACCUGCGGCUG
rnacentral:rRNA from 1 species